rnacentral:rRNA from 1 species
GAACGCUAGCUACAGGCUUACACAUGCAAGUCGAGGGGAAACGGCAUUUAGUGCUUGCACUGAAUGGACGUCGACCGGCGCACGGGUGAGUAACGCGUAUCCAACCUACCCAUUACUGUGGGAUAACCUGCCGAAAGGCAGACUAAUACCGCAUAGUCUUCGAUGACGGCAUCAGAUUUGAAGUAAAGAUUUAUCGGUAAUGGAUGGGGAUGCGUCUGAUUAGCUUGUUGGCGGGGUAACGGCCCACCAAGGCGACGAUCAGUAGGGGUUCUGAGAGGAAGGUCCCCCACAUUGGAACUGAGACACGGUCCAAACUCCUACGGGAGGCAGCAGUGAGGAAUAUUGGUCAAUGGGCGCGAGCCUGAACCAGCCAAGUAGCGUGCAGGAUGACGGCCCUAUGGGUUGUAAACUGCUUUUGUAUGGGGAUAAAGUCAAUCACGUGUGAUUGUUUGCAGGUACCAUACGAAUAAGGACCGGCUAAUUCCGUGCCAGCAGCCGCGGUAAUACGGAAGGUCCAGGCGUUAUCCGGAUUUAUUGGGUUUAAAGGGAGCGUAGGCCGGAGAUUAAGUGUGUUGUGAAAUGUAGACGCUCAACGUCUGACUUGCAGCGCAUACUGGUUUCCUUGAGUACGCACAACGUUGGCGGAAUUCGUCGUGUAGCGGUGAAAUGCUUAGAUAUGACGAAGAACUCCGAUUGCGAAGGCAGCUGACGGGAGCGCAACUGACGCUUAAGCUCGAAGGUGCGGGUAUCGAACGGGAUUAGAUACCCUGGUAGUCCGCACAGUAAACGAUGGAUGCCCGCUGUUGGUACCUGGUAUCAGCGGCUAAGCGAAAGCAUUAAGCAUCCU